rnacentral:rRNA from 1 species
ACGAUGUCAACUAGCCGUUGGGACUCUUGAAGUCUUAGUGGCGCAGCUAACGCACUAAGUUGACCGCCUGGGGAGUACGGCCGCAAGGUUAAAACUCAAAUGAAUUGACGGGGGCCCGCACAAGCGGUGGAGCAUGUGGUUUAAUUCGACGCAACGCGAAGAACCUUACCUGGCCUUGACAUGCAGAGAACUUUCCAGAGAUGGAUUGGUGCCUUCGGGAACUCUGACACAGGUGCUGCAUGGCCGUCGUCAGCUCGUGUCGUGAGAUGUUGGGUUAAGUCCCGUAACGAGCGCAACCCCUAUCCCUGGUUGCUAACAGGUAAUGCUGAGAACUCCAGGGAGACUGCCGGUGACAAACCGGAGGAAGGUGGGGAUGACGUCAGGUCAUCAUGGCCCUUACGGCCAGGGCUACACACGUGCUACAAUGGCGUGUACAGAGGGCUGCCAACUCGCGAGAGUGAGCCAAUCCCUUAAAACACGUCGUAGUCCGGAUCGCAGUCUGCAACUCGACUGCGUGAAGUCGGAAUCGCUAGUAAUCGCGAAUCAGAAUGUCGCGGUGAAUACGUUCCCGGGCCUUGUACACACCGCCCGUCACACCAUGGGAGUGGAUUGCACCAGAAGUAGUUAGUCUAACCUUCGGGAGGACGAUUACCACGGUGUGGUUCAUGACUGGGGUGAAGUCGUAACAAGGUACCCGUAA